rnacentral:sRNA from 1 species
UCGAUGCGCAUCUUGCACGCGGAGCUUCAGCAGUACCUGGGGAACCCACAGGAGUCGCUGGAUAGACUGCACAAGGUGAAGACUGUCUGCAGCAAGAUCCUGGCCAAUUUGGAGCAAGGCUUAGCAGAAGACGGCGGCAUAAGCAGCGUGACUCAGGAGGGCAGACAAGCCUCUGUCCGGCUGUGGAGGUCACGUCUGGGCCGGGUGAUGUACUCCAUGGCAAACUGUCUGCUCCUGAUGAAGGAUUAUGUGCUGGCCGUGGAGGCGUAUCAUUCGGUUAUCAAGUAUUACCCAGAGCAAGAGCCCCAGCUGCUCAGCGGCAUCGGCCGGAUUUCCCUGCAGGUACCUGUGCACCGUCAGACAUGAGCCAGAAAGGCCUUAUGAUAGUUCUUUGCUCAGAUGGGCGAGUGUUUGCUUUUCAUCAUUUUAAUAUAAGAAAGACUGCAGAAAAUAU